rnacentral:rRNA from 1 species
GUGCCAGCCGCCGCGGUAAUACGGAGGGGGCGAGCGUUAUUCGGAAUUAUUGGGCGUAAAGGGCGCGUAGGCGGCUUUCUAAGUCAAAGGUGAAAUCCCUCGGCUCAACUGAGGAACUGCCUUUGAAACUGGAAGGCUUGAGGCCGGGAGAGGGUAGCGGAAUUCCCAGUGUAGCGGUGAAAUGCGUAGAUACUGGGAGGAACACCGGUGGCGAAGGCGGCUACCUGGACCGGUUCUGACGCUGAGGCGCGAAAGCGUGGGUAGCAAACAGGAUUAGAAACCCCUGUAGUCC